CGGGACGGGUGAGUAAUGUCUGGGAAACUGCCUGAUGGAGGGGGGAGAACACUGGAAACGGUAGCUAAUACCGCAUAACGUCGCAAGACCAAAGAGGGGGACCUUCGGGCCUCUUGCCAUCGGAUGUGCCCAGAUGGGAUUAGCUAGUAGGUGGGGUAACGGCUCACCUAGGCGACGAUCCCUAGCUGGUCUGAGAGGAUGACCAGCCACACUGGAACUGAGACACGGUCCAG
rnacentral:rRNA from 1 species